rnacentral:lncRNA from 1 species
ACCCAGAGAUUUGCCUAUAGGCUAAUCUGAUGGAGGCAUUUUUCUCACUUGAGGUUCCCUCUUCCCAGAUGACCCUGGUGUCAAUCAAGUUGAUGAAAACCUAGCCAGCACAGGGGAGCAAAGAGGUGGGGGACAGGGAGGAGGAGGGAAGAGAGCAAAGAGGAAGUGAGGAGGAAGGCUCCAGUGUGUGGCCCUAGACCCUAUCUCAAACCAAAGGUGUCUUCCUUGGAGAGCUGUUCACCUGAGAUCAGCUGAGGUAUCUUCUUUGAAAGAAACGUGCUGUUCGUUGUCUGACUGGGCUGAGUGAGCAGCCCUGCCCGUGAACAUGCGCACUGGUGUCCUUCUUUCUGCAGUUCUUCUAAAGGAGCAGUGACGAGUGGAGGUGCACGGCUUCUAUUCCUGCUCAAACCUCUUUGCCUUCACCUCCACCUAAACCUCUAUUUUGAGUCUCACUCCAUGAGUGUUCAACCGAGUUCUCCGUUGCCAUGUCCCUUAAGAUGGGGAGUCAGCCUAGGAAUGAACAGAGAAGUGGAACUCAGGAUACAAAGACAGUCACAACCGGAAGACAAGGCAAAACCUAGGCUCCUUUGAAUGCCCUCGGCUCUGCAGUGUCCUGGUCUUCUGGUUUCCAGACUCACAUCUUGCCUCAGGGGGAUUGACAGCUAUCCCACAUGUGGUGUAAAGCUCUCAAGGUCUUUUAGGGAGAAGAAAACAUUGGUCUAAUUUGCUAAGUUUAAAGAGGACAAACUUGCAUAUAGAUCUGAGAAGCAGUCUUGAGGUUUGAGGAUGCCAGUGUGUGUAUCAGGCUGCAUUUCUCAGAGUAAUCUUAUUUUUUCAUGUGAACGACCCACCUCAUGUCAAGCUUAACUUCCAACAUCUACAAUGUGAAGGUAUCUCACUUUCUAAUGCAACACAUAGUAUUGAAGACAUUUUAUUAGAAGACCAUUCUCUACCUUGCCCCUUACUGCAUCCUAUUCCAAGUUUUAAAUUCUGAACGAUGCAAUUCUGACUGCCCUACAAGACACGGAAUCUACAGGGUUAAGAACAAAGCUGAAAGAAGAAACCAUGGAAAUAAAAAGCUAUGGUGAAGACCAGACACCAGCUUUAAAGCCUGCUG